rnacentral:rRNA from 1 species
GCGGACUGAUGGGAGCUUGCUCCACUGAUGUCAGCGGCGGACGGGUGAGUAACACGUGGGCAACCUGCCUGUAAGACUGGGAUAACUUCGGGAAACCGGAGCUAAUACCGGAUAACUUCAAGCACCUCCUGGUGCUUGGAUAAAAGAUGGUUUCGGCUAUCACUUACAGAUGGGCCCGCGGCGCAUUAGCUAGUUGGUGAGGUAACGGCUCACCAAGGCGACGAUGCGUAGCCGACCUGAGAGGGUGAUCGGCCACACUGGGACUGAGACACGGCCCAGACUCCUACGGGAGGCAGCAGUAGGGAAUCUUCCGCAAUGGACGAAAGUCUGACGGAGCAACGCCGCGUGAGCGAUGAAGGCCUUCGGGUCGUAAAGCUCUGUUGUUAGGGAAGAACAAGUACCGGAGUAACUGCCGGUACCUUGACGGUACCUAACCAGAAAGCCACGGCUAACUACGUGCCAGCAGCCGCGGUAAUACGUAGGUGGCAAGCGUUGUCCGGAAUUAUUGGGCGUAAAGCGCGCGCAGGCGGUCCUUUAAGUCUGAUGUGAAAGCCCACGGCUCAACCGUGGAGGGUCAUUGGAAACUGGGGGACUUGAGUACAGAAG